rnacentral:rRNA from 1 species
GAUGAACGCUGGCGGCGUGCCUAAUACAUGCAAGUCGAACGAGGUGCUUUUGUAGCAAUACGAGAGUAUCCUAGUGGCGAACGGGUGAGUAACGCGUUGGUGACCUACCCCAAAGUGUGGGAUAACAGUCCGAAAGGAUUGCUAAUACCGCAUGUGGUCAUUGGAUUUAGAAACUGAUGACUAAAGGAGCAAUUCGCUUUGGGAGGGACCUGCGUCCCAUCAGCUAGUUGGUGAGGUAAUGGCUCACCAAGGCGACGACGGGUAGGGGACCUGAGAGGGUGACCCCCCACAAUGGAACUGAAACACGGUCCAUACACCUACGGGUGGCAGCAGUAGGGAAUAUUGCUCAAUGGGCGAAAGCCUGAAGCAGCAACGCCGCGUGUGUGGUGAAGGCCUUCGGGUCGUAAGGCACUUUUCUGGGAGAUGAGAAAGGACAGUAUCCCAGGAAUAAGUCUCGGCUAACUACGUGCCAGCCGCCGCGGUAACAC